rnacentral:tRNA from 1 species
GGCGCCCGAGCCAGGUGGGAAGGCGGCGGUCUGCAAAACCGCUAUGAACGGGUUCGAUUCCCGUGGGCGCCU